rnacentral:rRNA from 1 species
UACACCCCUGCGGGAGGCAGCAGUGGGGAAUUUUGGACAAUGGGCGAAAGCCUGAUCCAGCCAUGCCGCGUGCAGGAUGAAGGCCUUCGGGUUGUAAACUGCUUUUGUACGGAACGAAACGGCCUUUUCUAAUAAAGAGGGCUAAUGACGGUACCGUAAGAAUAAGCACCGGCUAACUACGUGCCAGCAGCCGCGGUAAUACGUAGGGUGCAAGCGUUAAUCGGAAUUACUGGGCGUAAAGCGUGCGCAGGCGGUUAUGUAAGACAGUUGUGAAAUCCCCGGGCUCAACCUGGGAACUGCAUCUGUGACUGCAUAGCUAGAGUACGGUAGAGGGGGAUGGAAUUCCGCGUGUAGCAGUGAAAUGCGUAGAUAUGCGGAGGAACACCGAUGGCGAAGGCAAUCCCCUGGACCUGUACUGACGCUCAUGCACGAAAGCGUGGGGAGCAAACAGGAUUAGAUACCCCAGUAGUCCCAUGA